rnacentral:rRNA from 1 species
AUUGAACGCUGGCGGCAGGCCUAACACAUGCAAGUCGAACGGUAACAGGAAGAAGCUUGCUUCUUUGCUGACGCGUGGCGGACGGGUGUGACAUGUCUGGGACACUGCCUGAUGGCGGGGGAUAACUACUGGAAACGGUAGCUAAUACCGCAUAACGUCGCAAGCCCAAAAAGGGGGACCUUCGGGCCUCUUGCCAUCGGCUGUGCCCAGAUGGGAUUAGCUAGUAGGUGGGGUAACGGCUCACCUAGGCGACGAUCCCUAGCUGGUCUGAGAGGAUGACCAGCCACACUGGAACUGAGACACGGUCCAGACUCCUACGGGAGGCAGCAGUGGGGAAUAUUGCACAAUGGGCGCAAGCCUGAUGCAGCCAUGCCGCGUGUAUGAAGAAGGCCUUCGGGUUGUAAAGUACUUUCAGCGGGGAGGAAGGGAGUAAAGUUAAUACCUUUGCUCAUUGACGUUACCCGCAGAAGAAGCACCGGCUAACUCCGUG